rnacentral:rRNA from 1 species
UGGCGGCGUGCCUAAUACAUGCAAGUCGAGCGAACGGACGAGAAGCUUGCUUCUCCGAUGUUAGCGGCGGACGGGUGAGUAACACGUGGAUAACCUACCUAUAAGACUGGGAUAACUUCGGGAAACCGGAGCUAAUACCGGAUAAUAUUUUGAACCGCAUGGUUCAAAAGUGAAAGACGGUCUUGCUGUCACUUAUAGAUGGAUCCGCGCUGCAUUAGCUAGUUGGUAAGGUAACGGCUUACCAAGGCAACGAUGCAUAGCCGACCUGAGAGGGUGAUCGGCCACACUGGAACUGAGACACGGUCCAGACUCCUACGGGAGGCAGCAGUAGGGGAUCUUCCGCAAUGGGCGAAAGCCUGACGGAGCAACGCCGCGUGAGUGAUGAAGGUCUUCGGAUCGUAAAACUCUGUUAUUAGGGAAGAACAUAUGUGUAAGUAACUGUGCACAUCUUGACGGUACCUAAUCAGAAAGCCACGGCUAACUACGUGCCAGCAGCCGCGGUAAUACGUAGGUGGCAAGCGUUAUCCGGAAUUAUUGGGCGUAAAGCGCGCGUAGGCGGUUUUUUAAGUCUGAUGUGAAAGCCCACGGCUCAACCGUGGAGGGUCAUUGGAAACUGGAAAACUUGAGUGCAGAAGAGGAAAGUGGAAUUCCAUGUGUAGCGGUGAAAUGCGCAGAGAUAUGGAGGAACACCAGAGGCGAAGGCGACUUUCUGGUCUGUAA